rnacentral:lncRNA from 1 species
GGGGGCGGGGCCUGCCGCGGGGGGCGGGCCCGGCGCUGGAGCGGGCGGCGUGGUCCGCCCGGGGAAGGGUAUUCUGUGUUCCUGACUUGCAUUUUGGUUUAUUCCGGUGCUCGAGGGCAGCCGUUGAUUGUGAAUGUUUUAGUAAUCCUAAAAUAGAACCGAGUAGUUCUGGGAGAGGGGUAUAAGGAGUUAGUGUUGAAUGGAUGCAGAGUUUCUUUUGGGGAAGAUGAACAAAUUCUGGAGAUGGAUGGUGGACACGGUGCGCAACAAUGUGAACGGGUUAAUGCCUCUGCGCUGCACGCUGAAAAACGGCUAACCUGGAAGAUUAGCCCUGAGCUAACUACUGCCAAUCCUCUUUUUGCUGAGGAAGACUGGCCCUGAGCUAACAUCCGUGCCCAUCUUCCUCUACUUCAUAUGUGGGACGCCUACCACAGCAUGGCUUGACAAGCAGUGCCAUGUCCACACCCGGGAUCCGAACCGGCAAACCCUGGGCUGCUGAGAAGUGCAAUGUGCGAACUUAACUGCUGCGCCACUGGGCCGGCCCUUGCCUUUCUUAUUUGAUGUUAUAUUUCAAGAACACAAUGCCUGGCGCAUGGCACGUGCUCAGUCAGUGGCGCCAUCAUCAGCUCGGGUGGCCUGAUUUUGGAUGUACUGGUCCAGCCGACGUGGACCUGUGUGAUCAUGGGGUCUGGGUGGAGACAUGCCUCCUCUGGGCCAUGGCCUGGAGGGCUGACCCGAGAGACCCCAGGAGAUGAGAGAAAUGCAGGAUGGAAUCCAUCACGGCUUAUUCUAGACAAUGCGCGCAUGUGGGACACGAUGCCCCAUUCCUCUAAUAGAAGGUGGAAAGGAGACGUCUGUGCCGGGGGGAAGAAAGGAGAGCCAAGCUGGGAGAGGCUGCAGUCACUUCUCUGUCCGUCGGUGCUCUGUGGACGGCAGAUCCACUGUUUCGUUUGAAGAGCUGGAAGGCGUGGGGACCCUGGAUGACCCAAGACAGACGCGUGCCCAGUGCUGACCUUCGAAUUUAGAAACUAACUUUAGAGUCAAUGGUCGGGUGAGUUUUGACACAUAAAUAUGUCUGUCCGGGAAACCGUGGCCUUGAUCAGGAUUCAGAGCAUUCCAUCCCCCGAGAGGUCCCUCAGGCCCCGGGCCCGCCAUCCUCCCUCUGCACCCAGAUCCAGACACCACCGACUUGGAGGAGGAGGAGGGAUCUGAAUGGUGGGAAAAGAAAAUAAACAAAAACAGAACGAGCGAUGUAUGAGGGAGAAUUGAGAAACAGCGGGGUCCCAUCCAAGUUUGUAUUUGCAGAAUCGCUGUGUGUAUACACUUUGAAGAGAGGCUGGGUUGUUAGAACAGAUUUGCAUUUUCUUUGUGGUUUUUCCAUCAAGUUGGAAGGAAC